rnacentral:misc_RNA from 1 species
GUGAAUCAUCGAAUUUUUGAACGCAAAUUGCACUCUCUGGUAUUCCGGAGAGUAUGCCUGUUUGAGGGUCAGUUUAAAUAAAAUUCGGGGUGGUUGCUUCCUUUCGUGGUGACUCACCGGAUUUUUGUCGUCUUUCCUUAGGUUAAGUUACUGUUAAUUUUGCAUGAUUUUUUUCGAACUUAUUUAAUUAUUUUUACGUUUAUUUUUGUU